rnacentral:rRNA from 1 species
UGGGGAAUCUUGCGCAAUGGGCGAAAGCCUGACGCAGCGACGCCGCGUGGGGGAUGAAGCUUCUCGGAGUGUAAACCCCUUUCGACCCGGACGAAUGACCCGCAAGGGUUUGACGGUACGGGUAUAAGAAGCCCCGGCUAACUACGUGCCAGCAGCCGCGGUAAGACGUAGGGGGCCAGCGUUGCUCGGAAUUACUGGGCGUAAAGGGUUCGUAGGCGGUGCGGUAAGUCGAGAGUAGAAUCUCCAGGCUCAACUUGGAGGCGCCUCCCGAAACUGCCGUGCUCGAGUGCUGGAGAGGCGAGUGGAAUUGCAGGUGUAGCGGUGAAAUGCGUAGAUAUCUGCAGGAACACCAGUGGCGAAGGCGGCUCGCUGGACAGCAACUGACGCUGAGGAACGAAAGCUAGGGGAGCAAACAGG